UACGAAGGGGGCUAGCGUUGCUCGGAAUCACUGGGCGUAAAGCGCACGUAGGCGGAUUGUUAAGUCAGGGGUGAAAUCCUGGAGCUCAACUCCAGAACUGCCUUUGAUACUGGGGAUCUCGAGUCCGGAAGAGGUGAGUGGAACUCCGAGUGUAGAGGUGAAAUUCGUAGAUAUUCGGAAGAACACCAGUGGCGAAGGCGGCUCACUGGUCCGGUACUGACGCUGAGGUGCGAAAGCGUGGGGAGCAACAGG
rnacentral:rRNA from 1 species